rnacentral:rRNA from 1 species
GAUGAACGCUGGCGGCGUGCCUAAUACAUGCAAGUCGAGCGAACAGACGCGGAGCUUGCUCCUCUCACGUUAGCGGCAGACGGGUGUAUCACACGUGUAAAACCCACCUAUCAGACUGGGAUCACUUCGGGAAACCGGCGCUAAUCCGGGAUGAUCUCUUGAACCGCAGGGUUCAAUGGUGAGAUACGGUGUUGCGGGCACUUAUAGCUGGAUCUGGGCCGCAUUAGCUAGUUGGUAGGGUAAAGGGUUACCAAGGCAACGAUGCGUAGCCGAACUGAGGGGCGGGUCGGCCACACGGGAAGUGGGCCACGGACCAGACGCCUACGGGAGGCAGCAGUAGGGAAUGGGCGGCAAUGGGCGAGAGCCUGACGGAGUAGCGCGGAGUGAGUGAUGGCGGCGUUCGGAGCGUAAAACUCGGUUAUGAGGGAAGAACCAAUGUGGAAGGAACUAAGCACGUCGUGACGGUACCUAGUCAGAAAGCCACGGCUAACUACGUG